rnacentral:rRNA from 1 species
GAGGAAUAUUGGUCAAUGGACGCAAGUCUGAACCAGCCAUGUCGCGUGCAGGAAGACGGCCCUAUGGGUUGUAAACUGCUUUUGUACGGGAAUAAAACCAGUUACGAGUAACUGGCUGAAGGUACCGUACGAAUAAGGAUCGGCUAACUCCGUGCCAGCAGCCGCGGUAAUACGGAGGAUCCGAGCGUUAUCCGGAUUUAUUGGGUUUAAAGGGUGCGUAGGCGGACUGGUAAGUCAGUGGUGAAAUGCUGCAGCUCAACUGUAGAAUUGCCAUUGAUACUGUCAGUCUUGAGUACAGAUGAGGUAGGCGGAAUGUGGUGUGUAGCGGUGAAAUGCUUAGAUAUACCACAGAACACCGAUUGCGAAGGCAGCUUACUAAACUGACACUGACGCUGAAGCACGAAAGCGUGGGUAUCAAAC